rnacentral:rRNA from 1 species
UCCCAGACUCCUACGGGAGGCAGCAGUGAGGAAUAUUGGUCAAUGGUCGGGAGACUGAACCAGCCAAGCCGCGUGAGGGAGGAAGGUACAGAGUAUCGUAAACCUCUUUUGUCAGGGAACAAAGGCGGGGACGUGUCCCCGGAUGAGUGUACCUGAAGAAAAAGCAUCGGCUAACUCCGUGCCAGCAGCCGCGGUAAUACGGAGGAUGCGAGCGUUAUCCGGAUUUAUUGGGUUUAAAGGGUGCGCAGGCGGAAUGUCAAGUCAGCGGUAAAAUUUCGGGGCUCAACCCCGUCGUGCCGUUGAAACUGUGUCCCUUGAGUGCGCGAAGGGUAGGCGGAAUGCGUGGUGUAGCGGUGAAAUGCAUAGAUAUCACGCAGAACUCCGAUCGCGAAGGCAGCCUACCGGCGCGCUACUGACGCUCAUGCACGAAAGCGUGGGUAUCGAACAGGAUUAGAUACCCUCGUAU